AAGGAGCCCCAUGGAGGGUGAUAGCCCCGUCUCGCAUUGACCUCAUAUAGGAUCUUAACAGGGAGUUGAGUUGUUUGGGAAUGCAGCUCAAAUGGGUGGUAUGCUCCAUCUAAAGCUAAAUAUCUGCGAGAGACCGAUAGUAAACAAGUACUGUGAGGGAAAGAUGAAAAGAACUUUGAAAAGAGAGUGAAAAAGUACGUGAAAUUGUUGAAAUGGAAGGGGUAGGCCGCUAACCAUGUAGAGCCGUGUU
rnacentral:rRNA from 1 species